AAGCUAUUGGAACGUGAUGCCUGCCCAGUGACACCACGUUUAACGGCCGCGGUAUCCUAACCGUGCAAAGGUAGCGCAAUCAAUUGUCCCAUAAAUCGAGACCUGUAUGAAUGGCUAAACGAGGUCUUAACUGUCUCCUGUAGACAAUCGGUGAAACUGAUCUCUCUGUACAAAAGCAGAGAUAAACACAUAAGACGAGAAGACCCUGUGGAACUUCAAAAUCAACAGCCACCUCACCCCACUCACAAACCCACCCGGGCCCACCACCCAAGACACUGGCUGACAUUUUUAGGUUGGGGCGACCUUGGAGAAAAACAAACCCUCCAAAGACAAGGCCAAACUCCUUAACCAAGAGCAACCCCUCAACGUACUAACAGUACCCAGACCCAGUAAAUCUGAUCAAUGAACCAAGCUACCCCAGGGAUAACAGCGCAAUCUCCUCCAAGAGCCCCUAUCGACGAGGAGGUUUACGACCUCGAUGUUGGAUCAGGACAUCCUAGUGGUGCAGCCGCUACUAAGGGUUCGUUUGUUCAACGAUUAACAGUCCUACGUGAUCUGAGUUCAAAACCGGA
rnacentral:rRNA from 1 species